UGAGUACGAGAUGCUACGGCAUCGAAGCAGUCUAUGUCAUACUUCCAAGAAAAGCUUGCAAUGUCAUAAACAAAUAAUGCCUGUACCAUAACCGACACAGGUGGGUAGGUAGAGUAUACUAAGGGGCGCGAGAUAACUCUCUCUAAGGAACUCGGCAAAAUGACUCCGUAACUUCGGGAGAAGGAGUGCCUUAUUUUUAUAAGGUUGCAAUAACAAGAUCCAAGCAACUGUUUACCAAAAACACAGGUCUCCGCUAAGUCGUAAGACGAUGUAUGGGGGCUGACGCCUGCCCAGUGCCAGAAGGUUAAAGAAGUUGGUUAGCAUUAGCGAAGCUGAUAACUGAAGCCCUGGUGAACGGCGGCCGUAACAAUAACGGUCCUAAGGUAGCGAAAUUCCUUGUCGGGUAAGUUCCGACCCGCACGAAAGGCGUAAUGAUUUGGAUACUGUCUCGGAGAGGGGCUCGGUGAAAUAGACUUGUCUGUGAAGAUGCGGACUACCUGCACCUGGACAGAAAGACCCUAUGAAGCUUUACUGUAACUUGAGAUUGAAAUUGGACUUUAUCUGCGCAGUAUAGGUGGGAGACGUUGAAAAUAUUCUUGCGGGAAUAUUGGAGUCAUCAGUGAGAUACCACUCUUAUAAUGUUAGAUUUCUAACUUUGUAUCAUUAUCUGGUCAAAGAACAGUUUCAGGCGGGCAGUUUGACUGGGGCGGUCGCCUCCCAAACGGUAACGGAGGCGCACAAAGGUUUCCUCUGAACGUGUAGAAAUCGUAUCUAGAGUGUAAAGGCAUAAGGAAGCUUGACUGUGAGACCUACAAGUCGAGCAGGGACGAAAGUCGGUCUUAGUGAUCUGACGGUGCUGAGUGGAAAGGCCGUCACUCAACGGAUAAAAGUUACUCUAAGGAUAACAGGCUGAUCUCCCCCAAGAGUUCACAUCGACGGGGAGGUUUGGCACCUCGAUGUCGGCUCAUCGCAUCCUGGGGCGGUAGUACGUCCCAAGGGUUGGGCUGUUCGCCCAUGAAAGCGGUACGCGAGCUGGGUUCAGAACGUCGUGAGACAGUUCGGUCCAUAUCCGGUGUAGGCGUUAGAAUAUUGAGAGGAGCCUUCUUUAGUACGAGAGGACCGAGAAGGACAUACCUCUGGUGUACCAGUUAUCGUGCCAACGGUAAACGCUGGGUAGCCAUGUAUGGAGAGGAUAACCGCUGAAAGCAUCUAAGUGGGAAGCCCACCUCAAGAUAAGUAUUCGA
rnacentral:rRNA from 1 species